GCAGCUGGUUUACCUAAUCCUUAUACCGUGAUUGGUAAAACUCACACAAGGGUCAGGGUGCCCAAGAAAUGAGAAGAAAGAACAAAGGCCAAGUCCAUUGGUCAAUUUGUACAAAAUAACUUGAGGCCUGGCCAGGUGUCCAUCCAGUUGAAUCAUCUGUCAUGUGGUUUCCAGCCAGUGCUUCCUUGAGCAAAACUCAGAUUCACAGAAAUCCCCAUGCAUUUGAAGGAAAGAAAUUGCUGUUGAUUGCCCUUACAAGGUAAAAUGGCCAUCACAUUUUCUAAUAAUAAAAUGAUGA
rnacentral:lncRNA from 1 species